GAUGAACGCUGGCGGCGUGCCUAAUACAUGCAAGUCGAGCGAACAGACGAGGAGCUUGCUCCCCUGACGUUAGCGGCGGACGGGUGAGUAACACGUGGAUAACCUACCUAUAAGACUGGGAUAACUUCGGGAAACCGGAGCUAAUACCGGAUAACAUGUUGAACCGCAUGGUUCAACAGUGAAAGACGGUCCUGCUGUCACUUAUAGAUGGAUCCGCGCCGCAUUAGCUAGUUGGUAAGGUAACGGCUUACCAAGGCAACGAUGCGUAGCCGACCUGAGAGGGUGAUCGGCCACACUGGAACUGAGACACGGUCCAGACUCCUACGGGAGGCAGCAGUAGGGAAUCUUCCGCAAUGGGCGAAAUCCUGACGGAGCAACGCCGCGUGAGUGAAGAAGGUCUUCGGAUCGUAAAACUCUGUUAUUAGGGAAGAACAAAUGUGUAAGUAACUAUGCACGUCUUGACGGUACCUAAUCAGAAAGCCACGGCUAACUACGUG
rnacentral:rRNA from 1 species